AUAUGGNACUGCUUUCCAAAUUGGCUGCACCAAUUUGCAGUCCCACCAGCAAUGUACAAGUGUACCCUUUUCCCCACAUCCUCGCCAGCACUUGUACAUUGCUGGUGGGACUGCAAAUUGGUGCAGCCAAUUUGGAAAGCAGUAU
rnacentral:miRNA from 1 species